rnacentral:rRNA from 1 species
GACGAACGCUGGCGGCGUGCUUAACACAUGCAAGUCGAACGGUGAAGCGCCUUCCUUUUUGGUGGGUGUGGAUGAGUGGCGAACGGGUGAGUAACACGUGAGUAACCUGCCCCCUUCUUCUGGAUAACCGCAUGAAAGUGUGGCUAAUACGGGAUAUUCUGGGUCUGUCGCAUGAUGGGUCUGGGAAAGAUAUUGUUUCGGUGGGGGAUGGGCUCGCGGCCUAUCAGCUUGUUGGUGGGGUGAUGGCCUACCAAGGCGGGGACGGGUAGCCGGCCUGAGAGGGUGGAAGGUCACGCUGGGGCUGAGGCACGGCCCAGACUCCUACGGGAGGCAGCAGUGGGGAAUAUUGCACAAUGGGCGCAAGCCUGAUGCAGCGACGCCGCGUGAGGGAUGGAGGCCUUCGGGUUGUGAACCUCUUUCGCCAGUGAAGCAGGCCUGCCUCGUUUGUGGGUGGGUUGACGGUAGCUGGAUAAGAAGCGCCGGCUAACUACGUG